AUGAACCAUCCAGUCUCCUGCCUGGAGUAUUGAAGCCUGGCUACUGUGACUGUGGGGAAGGGAUUAAUGGUCUCAGCGUUCAGCCAACAAUAAUACCUGCUCACUGUAAGCAUUCAGAAAACAGAAAAGUUUCGAGAAGCAGGAAGAAAAGACUCACCUAUAAUCCCAACACCCAGAGAUAAAAGUCCUGAAGCUCAGAUGACACAGCUGAUAAUCAGGGAAGCCAGGACAGAAUCUCAUUGUUUUGAACACCAAAACCCAUUCCCUUGACAACUUGGCUAUACUACACUAUUAGACUGUUGCAGAUACUAUGGUCACAUUUCAAAGGCCAGAUCUUUCCCAGGGCUUAAGCUGUUCCUUGGAUACUUUUGGUAAGUCAUUUACCCACUAAUCAUUUAGUAAUCGUCUCUGACAUGCCAAACACUCUGCUCAGGGCUGGAAAUGCAGAACCUGGGAAGCCACUGGCCUUGUCCUCAAGAUCUCUCUCUGGCUCCCUUUGAAUUUGCUAAUUCAGACUCUCACAUUUCCCCCAGGAAAAAUCAUAAGGACCAAAUCAUAUCCAUUUUCUCAAAUGGCUUCAAAAACCCAUGUCAUCGUUUGGCAUCAUGUAAUUCUUUACUGAUGUACUUUAAGAGUCAAGUUUUAUUUUCUUCAUGCAGCUGUCAAGGACAGACACAAAGAGUGGAGGUGUCUUCCUCAUUAAAUACUUUCCCACAACA
rnacentral:lncRNA from 1 species